rnacentral:lncRNA from 1 species
AAUUUUCCCACUUGAAAUUUAAAAAUUAAAAAUUAAAAAUUAAAAAUUUUUAAAUUUCAGUUUAAAAUUUGUAAAUUUAAAAUUUAAAUUUUAAAAUCCAAUGUAAAAGAGAGAGAGAGUUGGGCUAGAAUAUUAUUAAUAGUAUUUGCCCUCUUUUAUUUUAGUUUUUAGUUUUUUGAUCAAUUCUUUGAUCAUUUCUAUCUAUUGGAUUAAAUAUUAUAACUCAGUGGGGACCACUCAACUCUAAGGGGACCACUCAAUCUUAAGGGACUAACAUCAAUCUAUAAAAAAAUAAUUUGAUAGAUUUCUAUUUUAAAUUAAAAAAUAAUUAAAAUAAUCAAAGUAAACUAUAAAAAGACAAAUAAUUAAAGUAAGCUAUAAAAAAAACUCAUAGUUAUAUUAUUUUGAAAAAAUAAUCAAAUUAAACUUUAAAAUGAAAACAUAUUAAAUUAAUUAAAUGCAACUAAAAAAUACUUAUAAUAAAAACACAUUAUUUUGGUAAUAAAAUAUGCAUUAUAAUAGUUGUAAGAGUGCGAGGGAUAAAACGGGUACACUAGCCAUUAUUUUUUUUUUGAAAUACAAGUAAUAUGGAUAGUUUUAAUAAUUUUACUAAAUUUGAAAGGUUUUUUUUUUUUUUUGAGAGAAGGGCAAUUUUGAUAUUAAUAAUUUUUUGAGGGUAUCCAAAUAAUUAGGGGUUGGUGAGAGGGUACCUGUGAAAUCAACCCUGUAUUUUACCAUCGACUGAAAGACUCAAAAUUUGACUUUACCAUUCUUGAUCCGAAGUAACUUUUGUCAACUAGCACUAUUCUAAUGUGAUGUGGAGUAAUUGGUUAGAUAUAUUGUCUUUCUAUCAAAAAUAUUUACUAAUUCGCUUUUAACCAGCUAUGCCCUGCAUAUAUAUACAUGCAUUUAUGCGGAUAUCAUGUAUCCGCAUGCAUAACAGUUCUUUCAUUUGUGUGUGGAAAGAGCCACAUUAUGAUACAGUGUUGAAAUAAAUUGAUAAGAUUUGGUCCCAUUGGAUCUAGACAAUCUUAUUUUUUUGGACAUGAAGAGAUAAAGAAGCCAUUGCAAUUGCCGGAAAUACUAGGCCCACUAAAGGCACAAAAAUAGAGGGUAAGUUGAGAUCUGUCAUAGAAUGGGUGCCUCGAUUUAAUAUUUGUAUCUAUAUAUUUGUAUCUAUUAGAAAGAUAUCUUAUGAUAUGAUAAGUAUAUCUAUUAUAAGUAAUAUUAAGUAAUAUUGACUAUUGUAUUUUAUAUAAUAUGAAGUUUGAAUAAUAAUAUUCAAACUUCAUAUUAUACUACUAAGUAUAUAUAAACAAUUAAGUAUAUAUAAAUAUAUACUUUAUAAUAAAUAUAAGAUUUCCAAAUAAUAUUAUUUGGAAUAUUAUUAUUUGGAAAUUCAAAUUAUUAUUUGGAAAUCUCAAAUAGUAAUAAAAUAAAAAGAAAAUAAAAAAAAAAAGAUAGAUAAUAAGUGCAAAAAUGUAGAACUAAAUUAAGUGUACCUAUUCAUCUUUCUACACGAAUAUAGAUAGGAUAAUCUUCUUUUACAAAUUUUAUUAUUCUUCUUCUCCCAUCCUUAUGUUCUUUCUAUCUUUCUUUCUAAUCUAAUAAGGAGUUUCUUAUUAAAAAGGAGUUUUCUUAUGAAAAUUAAGUUCAUUAUGAAUUCGCGACUCUAAAUAAUACGAUCCAACAAACGGGGAUUCAUAGUAAAAAUGCGAUAUAUAUAGAAAUUUUUUUAUUCCAUAUCCGUAUUUGCUAUUUCUUUUUAUUUUGAUCUUCUUUUUUUCAUUAUUGUCUAUCUUAAUUAUUGUCUAUCUUAAUUAAUACGUAAGAUAGCCAGAUAAAAUUCUUUUUAUUUCCCCAAAUUCGAAUUCCUCGGAAAGAGAAAUUCACCUUUUUAUUUUAUCCUGUUGAUAGAGGUUCAUAAUACCUAAUCAUGAAUAGGGGUAAGAUAAAAAAUAGAUCUGGAUCUGGAAGAAAAAAAAUUAUCCGAAACUUCUGACUCUUACUAGAAAGUGUAACUUAUAUCACCAAAGAACAUUUUUCUUAGUUUUUUUUAUUACGAUGAACUAAAUACUUGUUCGCUACAAAUAAAAUAACUGAAUCUAGUGCUAUACUUUAAUUUUUGGAAUUUUGAUUCAAGGGAAAGAAACCAUGGAGCUGAAAUAACUCACUUAGAACACCUUUUAAAGGAUUACGUGGUACGAUUGGGUCGAAUNGCGCCGCCGCCACUCCAAAUCGGCCGCGCCGUCAUCCCACGGCCUCCGGCGACCUCCCGCUCGCCGCUACUCGCCAUCCCGGCUAUCCCCGUGGACCGCCGGCCGCCGCUCCUCCUUCCUGCGUCCGCCCAGACCCGUGCGAGCCAUGGCCGAGUCCCCUCGGCUUCCAAGCGUUGCCGCCGCCCACUGACAGGAGCACAACCUCUUCCUCGACCUCCGGCGACAAACCAUCGCCGCCCUGGGCUCCUCCGGCCGCCGCUUCACCGCCGGCGCUCUUGAACCCGAGAGGAACUUGGCGGACUUGAUCUCCGCCGCCGUGCCACCGGCCACCUUGCGCCGCCGGCCAGCGGGUGCCCCAGACCCCACCAACCGGCCGCACCCUCCCCUGGCCGGACCGCCCGCCGUCCGGCCGCCGGCGAUCAACCCUAGCUCCACUACCUAGGUAAGGCUGUAUUGAUGUUAACAGCACUGUAUUUUGGGAUUCCGGUCGCCUUUCCGGCGAUCCGAAGGCACCCUGAUGACAGUAGAAGUGAGCACGAUCAUCGUUACUCCGUGCUGAGCAUCGUGCUCACCUCCGUCGGGGUCAUCGGUUCCCCGGUUUGCGUGUUAGAAGCGAAUUAGGCACUGUGCGCGCUAUUUCACCGAAUUUCGCGUCGCUCGUACGUUUCCCACAGUGGCCGAAUUUGCUCCGAAAGGUGAGCACGGUCUCCGGCACGCCGAGACCUAUCAGCAGGUGCCUCGGCUUCACUGAUUCAUUUCUGGUUUGUGCAGACGGACCAUAAAAGCGCCGAAAUCGCAUGAAAUAAUGCGAUUUCGGGUAAUCGGGAGGGCUUUUAUGUAUUUUGGGUUGUUGCGGCUGCUGUUGGCAGCAUGGGUGAGUAGUGGGUAACCUCUGGACUGAUUGUCCAAGGCCCCAAGCCCUUACGGAGACCGUAAAGUGAUUUCCGAUGCGUUUCUCGGCGAAAUCCGCCGACGGAACGCGGGUUCGGUUCGGAAUUUUUCCGACGGUGCUUCGUGAGCUAUUGUGUAGUCGCCGAGCCUUGUUUGCUGGUCACUUGCGUCAUUUCGAGAGUUCAGAAAUGACGAGUGAGCGACGGUGGGUUCCGGUGUCGAAUUUGACACUUUCGGGAACCCGAGUUCGUACAAUUAUCCGGCGAUAAUUGUGUAGUUGUGUUAACUUGUGUUUGCUGCCAAGACAUCCAAAUUGGUGUGUUUUGUGGCAGCGGGUGACUCGUAUCAUGAGUCGGAACAUUUCGGGACAGUUCGUGGGUCCCGACGGAGUCCCGGUGCGAUUUUCGGGACUUCCGACGAGUUACGGUAGUCGGUUUUGGGAAACUGAUCUCCGUGGAUUUGUUAGUGGGAUUAUGAUGUAGUAUUUCUUAGUUGUGGGUUAGACACUAACCCAGUGGACCCUCCAUAGGUCCUGUUGACGUUCUUUUGCAGUCAGGAGACAGGCGCGACAGUUGUACAGGUGGGUACUUCGAUCCGACGUCGGUACAGUGGUGCACGCUCGGUGAUGGUUUCUUACCUUUGCUCUUUCGUUAUUAUCUAGCAUAUAUAUAUCUUGAUAUAUAGUGUUGAGCCUAGCACCAUGUUGUUCAGUUACACUCUACUCGGUUGUUCUCUUUAUAUCAUGAGUAGGAGUAGAGUAGUUAUACCAUAUUUCUUUGUUGCUCUACUUAGCUAUUCUGCAUAUCCUGUAUCAUGUUUAGAGUAGAGCGGUUUCGUGAUUUUAUGUGAAAUCGGUGACCUAGUUGAUUCGUUCUUGUAUCUUAUAUCUGUAUAUAGUCGGUUUGUUCCUUGACUCUUGUUGUUUGAUGACCUUUGAGGUCGGUGUACCCUGAGGGGUAGGAUUGUCGACUAGUGGCCGACGGUAGUUCUAGAUCAUAUACUCAGAUGACUUGUUGACCGAUUCUUGCAUAUAUACAGUAGUUGACUCAUUGAUCAGUAUCUACAUACUGUGGGUAGGAUGUUGAGUUGUUCCAUCCCAGUUGACUUGAUUAGUCAGUAUUUGCAUAUGUUUGAGAGGAUGUCGAUGUUGUCCCAUCCUAGUUGACCUGAGUGGUCGGUUCUUGUGCUUCUUUACAGUUGAUGACCUAUGCGGUCGAUAGGCCCUGGGGGGCAGGAUUGUCGGCUGGUUGCCGACGGUUGAUCAUUGACCAUAUUGCAUUGAUCGCCCGAUACUCGUCGCAUUUCACGAACACUGGCGGUCUGAUCCACCGCAAGGAGUGUUCUUUUCCGGAAAAGUGGUUGAAUGGUGACAACCCGUGAGCCCUAGAGGGGUUAUAUGCAUGUUAGAGCGGCAGUGGUACUGUCGGGAGGUGUUGCGGUGCGGACCUCCAGGGCAUUGGCUUGAGGUCUGCGGUGCUGACCAAGAGAGCAUUGGUUUCAGAUUGGGUACUUUUGGACUGAUUGUCCCAUUGACGCAUAUGUUUAUAGUAGCAGUCGUUGCAUGCAUACUUACAGAUCUUACUUUAUAGUUGUCUUGCUACUAUAGUAGAUAUUCAUGUAUGCUUUCUGUUCCAGUUACAGUAGCGGUAGCCAUUAUUCAGUCUAGCUCCUGCUCUCUUUCAGUUUAUUGCUACUGUAUUUAGUAUAUCUGCUCAUUACCUUAUACAUCUCUUACGUUUACUACUGUUCCUACUGUAUUCCCACUGACCCGUACUGUUAUAUAGCUCUUCCUGAUCCGGUGAGUACUCCUCGCCUUCUUCGGCUUGCGGUACCCACUGGGAGGGGAGACAUGUUUACAUGUUCUCACCUCCCCCACCAUUUUUCAGGUAUCGCGGGCGAUGAUUAGUGGGACGAGACGUGAGGUACGUGUGUAGCGGUCGAUAGAGCUUCCGACCCAGGUUAUUUCGAUUUAGUUAUUACCCUUAUUAUUUCUGUUGAUUUAUAGCUUAGUCGGUUUACAUGGUUCAGUUUUGUGUUAUUAUCUGAAUAUCUGAGUUUUCAGUUGGUUUUGGAAUGUAAUAAAGGAUUUGUGUUUUCUUGAAAUAAAAAUGGUUUUCUACCCCUCGUGGUAGCGUUUUAAAAAGAUAAAAGUUUCCAUGUAGGGAAUAGUUUUCAAAGGGUUUUCUGUGAUUUUGUAUCUUAGUAUUUCAAAACCUGUUUCUGUGGUUGGAAACAUUUUAACUGAUAGAUGUGAAUUUAUAUUUAAAUAUUGAAUGGAAAAAUGUGAAUCUGUGGUGAAUGGUGUAUGAAUAUAUAACUGUGGUUAUUUGUAUGUUCAUCUGGUUGUGGUUGUAUCAUGUUUGAACUCUUGUACUUGUGCGACGCCGUGCAAAUACAGGGGAGACUCUGUCCGUGUGAACAGUGCAUCUCCUGUAUUUGUGGCGGAUCUGGCAUACCCUGGGGUCAGAUUUUCAAAAAAAAAAAAUUCAGACGCUUUUCCGCUAUGCUUUAAACUAAAAAGGAACCCCGGGGCGUGACACCUCCGCCCUCGCUCCCGCGUGCGCCCCGCGCCCGCGCCCCGCUCGCGCGCGGAGCCCAAGAGAGAGCAGCGGAGAAGAGGGGGAGAGAGAGGGGGGAGGGAGGAGGAGAGAGGGAGAGAGCCGAGGGGGGGAGGGAGAGGAAAAGAGGGAGAGAGAGAGGGGGAGAGAGAGGCCCCGCCAACACAUGGCAGGCCCCGCGGCCACCCCCCCGGCUCUCUCUCUCACUCUCGCUCCCCCUCUCUCCCUCAGCUCUCUCUCUCUCUAUCUCUCGCGCGGGCGGGGGGCACGGAUAGCCCGCGCGCAAGGCCCCCAAUUCUCUCUCUCUCCCUCUCUCCCCUGCCAUGUAUACGCUGCGGACGACCCGCGCCCGACUGUAGCACACUGGACCUUUGCAAAUUGCGAGGUUCGAGUGUUCGAGCUGUGUUCUAAGUCCUUCCAGACUUUCUAGUGGGUCGUUGAUAGUGUUCCGACCUAUGACUCGUAUCCCGAGAAUUGUGGUUUAAAGCUGUGUACCAAAACCCGAAAAAUCGGAUUCUUGGCCAGCUCUCAGGUAGCUUUCUAGGGGUCUUGUACCGGUAGAAGGUUUGUGAUUGUACCGGUACAAGGUUGAUGGUUGUACCGGUACAGCCACCGGCUUGUACUGGUACAAAGCCGUUGAACCCCCCCAACCCGAGCCUCGGGUUGAGUUUUUCGUGGGGCUUGUACCGGUACAAGGGGCCCGUGUACCGGUACAAGGGGGCAUUUUUCGUGCAGUCUGGACUGCAGAGGCGUUUUUGCUUUUGUAGCCUCCUUAUAUCAACACCCACGCCCCUUGGGGCCUUCCCUGAGCUGAGAACACAGAGAGACAAGGUAAGAGGAGCCCCACCUUGCCUCUCUUUGGUUUUGAUCUCUUUUCGUUGGGUUUUAAAGAGAUUAAACUUCUCUUUUUGCUUGUUGGAGGCAUUUCCACCAUUGUUGAGGCUUGGAGCUUGGGUUUGGAGCUUGGUGGAGGGAAGAUCCUAGAGGUUUGAGGACUUUGGGCUUGGAUUGAAGCUUCUAAGAGGUAGGUGGCAAGAUCUUUUCCUCUAAUUUUAGAUUUUGGAGUUUUCUUUGAGAUGAAACCCUAGAUUGGAAACUUAUGGUUGUUUUUGGGCAUUUUGAUUCUAGGGCUUUUGAGGCUAGAUUGGUUGGAUUAGAACCUUCCUCUAGGCUAGAUUGGAAGGGUUCUAGCUCUCUUUUGGAGCUUUAGAAGAGAUUUCUCUCUUGAGGUGAGUUUUGACCAUUUUGCUUUAUGGUUAAUGAUUGAGCUAUUUGCUCUUCGUUUCGUUUGGGUGAACCUAUUUUUGAUGUUCCUAGGGUGCUAGGAAGCUAGUGGAUACCUCCGUUCGGCGAAACGAAGGUUUUGAUUUUGGUGGGUUUGACCUAGCCUAUAAUAUGAGAAAUUCUUAUAUAUGGUGAUAUAUGUUUCGUAAAUUGGAAAAGCAUGCAUAUUCAUACUAUAUGUAUUUAUUAUGAUUUUUGGAAUGCUCAAAAUGCCUAUGUCACAUGUAAUGAAAUUUUGGAUCUCUAUGUAGUAGAGGAUAGCAUAUGAAGCUUAUGCGGAAUUUUUGGCAUUCUUAUGUUGGAUCAUGUUUCUUAUAGUGUAAAUGAGCUUUGAUUCAUGCAUUUAAAUCUAAGUGUAUUUGAGACAUGAAAGAUAACUAAUAUGCCAUAAAGAGGCAUCAAACUAGAACGUUAUGUGAAUUAGAGAGCUAAUGUCAUCUAGCGGCAUUGAGCUCGGGACAUGUGUGAACCUAGUGGAUAGGGCCAUUGAGGAAUGUGGAACAUGCUUAAAUAUUGAAUGUCUAAGUGUCAUAAAGGGGCACUAGACCUAGAGAGCAUUGGAACUUCACUUGUGACUUAGAACUAGAUCUUCGAGAUGCUAGUGACUAUACCAUGUUAGAGACAUGAUGAUUGGAUACUUGAGACGUUGACUAUACUUGCUUGCCAUUUGUGCUCAUUCGCACAUGCUUGUGAGGGUCGCUCCCUACAAGCCGGCACUCCGGAGUUAGCCUACGCGACCUAUGUUCGCUCGUGCGGUAUCGGAGAAACCUACGGGGUCGGGAGGGAUGACUCAUUCCUAGAGUAGGAAUGCUGGAGCUCCACGACACUUGGUGGCACAAGCUGGACUACAAUUUGUAGGGCCUAGAACAUGUUGGAAACAAUGACAUUGAACCGGGAAUGGAUAAUCACUACUAGACAGGCUUAGUAGUUAUAUUACUUUGACAUGCUUAUGAUAUAGCAUUUGGACUUAUAGUAUACUUGCCUUGUUUCAUUUAUUGCAUUGUAUAUAACUCGGUUGCUUGAUAGAGCUUAUUCCUUAUGUAUUGACACAUUGGAUCGUGAUGCUUACUCGUUUUAUUAUGUUGAGACAUAUCAGCUAUGCAUUGAACAUAUUCCCUUAUUAUAGAUAGAUGUACAUCAUGUUGACAUAAUGCUUACUUGAGAGCUCAGUAGUUUAAGCAUUUUAAAUUAUGCUUUCAUAAUUGCAAUUUAUCACUAUUAUUAUUAUUGCUUAUCGUACUUACCCCUUUUCUUUUGGAGCCUAGUGGAGCAUAGGACUGAGGUCAGUAAUUGCUCACUCUGGGAAUUAAUAAUUUAUAGUUCUCAUGCCCUCUUUUGGAAGAUAUGGAUCCCGAGGAUCUAAAAAGUAAGUAACACCUUAGAGGGGGGGUGAAUAGGUGUAAUCCGCAAACUCGAAAAAAAUCUCGAUGCAACAAACACAAUGCGCGAAAUUAAAUAUGCACACCGAGAAUUUAACGUGGGAAAACUCGCAAUUCGGAGUGAAAAACCCACGGGACGCGAUCACGCAAAGAAAUCCACUAAGAAAACUUGAGUACAAGUGAUUUCGACCAAAACUACGACUCAAUUUCGAUUUCUCGUUGACGGUGAUCUUGUGCCGUUCUCGAUCGAUAGGAAUCCACCAUAUCGACCUUGCUGCAACUCUCGCAGCGUCAACGCCUCAACUCCUCGAAGCGUCCACCGAAUCCUCGGCUUCAGCGAGAUCCAGCGCCGAACCUCCUUCCGGGCUUUAGAAUUGAGAUUUUGUGGUGAUUUAACUUUUGAAAACCAUAAGCUAUGUGAGGGGUUCACCUUUAAUCAUCUACUUGAUUCUUGUAGGAAGUAUCGAGUAAAACGAAGAAUCAAGCCGAUGUUGAUUGCUAGAAACUCAUCAUGUAAAUCGAAGCAUUGAAACGAGAAGAAAACGAGUUUCUAGGGUUGGAAUUGGUAAAUAUUCAAAGCCUUAAUUUUGAGACCCACAUAGCUUAUUAUAUGUUUAGAAGACUUAGAAGUAGACUGGAUUGCAAAAAGUCGAUUUCAAAAAACUGUGUCGUCCUCAGAGACCGGUCUGUCGAGGAGACGGUCUGUGAGAGACCGUCUCUUCAAGUGAGGAACUCGUCCCUCCCUGCGUGACGCAAAAACCCCACGUUCGGGAACGGUCUCUCAAAACUUGAGACGGUCCCGUCGCUGCGCGACAGAACCACCAAGGUUCGGGAAGCGGUCUCUCAUCAUAGGGGACGCGGUUGCAUCAAGGUUUACGCAGUGAGGACCUUGGGAGAACCGGUCUCUCCAUUUCAGAAACCGGUCCCGACACAAGAAAGUUCAGAAAUUUGUUUAAAACAAUCUAAGCCUUCUGAACUUAUUUUUAAUCAUGUAUCUUCACCACAAAAUGAUCUUUUCUACAUACCUUAGGUGUCGAUCUUCUCCGAAUGAGUCUUUGUCCUCCAAUUUGAAUCUUUUCUCAAAAAACUUCUGCGAUCAACUCUUCAAGACUCCAAACAACUUUACGAAAUUCGCCAACCUAUAAAAUCCUUAACAAUCUCCCCCUUUGGCGAUUUCGUGACAAAAUAUACUACAAAGCUCGUAUACAACCAAUAAGUCAUAAAAAGAAGAUCAUCGCAAUCACCAAACGAUAAUCUCCUGCAUGAUCAAUCCAAUAAACAAAAUUUACACUUUUACAACCUUAAAACAAACUCUAUGACUUAGACAUGGAGUCUUGAAGUCUUGAAUUAUUCCUGCAAAAACAUUCUCAAAACAUAAUCAAGAUUCAAGUAUCAAUAAGUAUCAAGAAGAUCAAACAAUCAACUAAAGUUCACACUUCAUAGUUCAUAGUUAAACUAAACAAAAACACUAAGUCAAACACCUAAAGCAUUAAAACAAAGUCAUCUUAACUAAGCAAAGCCCUAAAAGCAUUAAAACAAAGUCAUCUUAACUAAGCAAAGCCCUAAGCUAAAUGCAUCAGCAUCAUCAUUAAGACCCCAUCACCUCCCCCUUUUUGUCAGAAAGCGCCAAAACGACAAAAGGAGAAGCUCGGUAAAUCCUAGUCAGAAUUAUCUCCUGGAGGUAAAUCCGCCCGACAACAUCCUAAUUUGUCAAAAAUCAUAUUCAACAAGCGCUUCAUCUUGCUCACAUCCUUACGAAUUGCAGCUUGUUCUGCAGACAACUUCUGAAGCUCCUCAGAUAGACGUUGCUGCUCGCGAUACACCGAUGAAACGGAAAUAUCNNNNNNNNNNNNNNNNNNNNNNNNNNNNNNNNNNNNNNNNNNNNNNNNNNNNNNNNNNNNNNNNNNNNNNNNNNNNNNNNNNNNNNNNNNNNNNNNNNNNGACAGAGCCUAAGUUUAAUCAACAAUUGAGAAAAUAAAAUGUUGUUUAAUUUGUGAGACGUUAUGAGUACUUUUAAUAAUGAUGAGGCCUUUUAAAUAUUACAAACCACGUUCUCUAUUCCAUGAGCUAAAGUUUAACCUUAAAAUCAUAAUCUAGAUAUAUAUAAUAAAUGAUAAGAUACAUAAAUCACACACACGCACCAGGUGCAAGUAACAAAUUCUAAAAACAAAGCAACAAUGCAAAAGGCCUAUAUAUAUAUAUAUAUAUAUAUAUAUAUAUAUAUAUAUAUCAUGCAGCUGUGUUGUCACUUCUGAGACGUAUAUAUUAGUGAUGAUGGAGGAGAGAGAGAGAGAGAGAGAGAGAGAGAGAGAGAGAGAGAGAGGGAGGAAGAAGCUGCAUGCUGAGUCUGUGUGAGAACACGGGAUAUGUUGGUUUUGCAGGGAUUCUCUGCGGAGUGGAAUGAUUACACCCUACACCAAGCUAGGGCUUAGCCUGAGACACCCUACCUAGGGCACAAAAAUCUCAAAAAGAGAUAAAAAAAAAUGGUGAUUAAUUAACAAAGCCAGGGCUUCAGGUUUUGUGCAAAUUCAGAAACUUCAAAUUAGCUGGUCUUUAAUAAAGCGUGUGAAUGUGGAAUAAUAACUUACAAAAUGGGGGUAUAAAUUAUAAAAUGGGGAUAACUUAUAAAAUAUUCGGCUAUGAUAUACCUUCUAGUUUAUUUUCUAUUUAAAUAUCGAUGGAUUUAUAGUAAAGUAUAGGAGAGGGCCUUUCUUAAUAGAUAUAUGUAUAUGAAUGGGAGUUGAGCUAGAAUACUCUCAAAAGCAUCAUGAAUGUGAUAUUUUUGAGUUUUUAGUCAUUGGAUGGAGAAAUGUAAGGUUGAGAUGACGGUGGUAGGUGGUGAUAGGUGGAAUAGUAUUUGAUCCAAAGACUAUUAGUAAUCAAGGAGUAGAUCCAAGGGUUAAAAACCUAAAAGCACUAAGAGCUUGGUGUUUCUAAAAGUAUUCUAGCUCAAUUCUAUAAAUCGUAAGUUUACUUGGAAUACUAAUAAUAGUAAAUAAAUAGUAUUUAUUAUCAAUUUUUUAAUUCUUGAAUCAAUAUCAAUCCAUCUACAUCCGCUAAAUCAAAGCAUCAUAUAUAGGACUAAAAAAUUUAUUUCAAAUCCUAUUUCUUUGCUAUUAAUAGUAUUCCGACUUUAUUCUAUGAACUAUAAGCAAUAAUAAUUAUUAGAUUUGAAUGUCUGUGGUGGGUAGCGGAGGGCUCAGGCAUGGUAUGGAUCGGAUCCGAAACUCGUUAAGAGUUUUCCUUUUUAUUUUUUUUUGCCCUAAAGGUGUGAGAUCGUGGUUGGUUGUACUAUUUGAACAUUGUAUUUCCUUUUUCGUUCGAUAGUGAGGUUCUCUCCUCCUUCGCCCGUGGUUUUUUCCUGCAAAAGAUUUUUCACGUAAAUCUGUGUGUUUUCUUUUGUUUCUGCUUGUGAUUUGUUUAUUUUGUAUUCGUCAUUUUGUUUUUGUUUGUGCGUUUGUCGUAACAGGGAUAGCAGAAUGCUACUCUCUCGAAAAAAAAAAAUCUAAAAUGUGACAGCCACAUGAAGUGAUACACCCACUAGCAACAGAGCACAUGAAGCAGUUAUACAUCUUUUUGCCUGUUGUGAUUUUUUCAUGCUCACUUGAGCCGAAUGCGGAAAACUCUCUAGAUACAUCCACUGACCUUCAAUUACUAUAGGCAGAUCGAUGUGUUUUUCUUUUCACCUGGAUUCCAAUAAGGAAAAAAGCACCGGUCAAGUUGCGAUGUAAAAUUGAUUCGAUGUUUGCUAUCAUUUUCUAAAACUUAUGAAAAGAGUGCAAUAAUAAAAUUUUCAAUAGGUUGUAUAAAUCAUCCAAAGAACUAAUUUGAGUAUCACAUAAUAAUGCACUAAUGUGGUUCAAAUUUUUGUAACUACGGAUUCAAUUAGAGGAUUCAAUCAUUGCGUGCUGCAUGUCUACUCAUCCUACACUUAUUUUUUAUAUAACUUCUAUUAUAUUCAAUGACAGGUAAUUAACACCCUGUACAAUCCUUUCAAAAAAGAAAAAGUCACAUGAAGUAAUGUGGUAGUGUUUUCAAUCAAUUAAAUUAUUAUACAUUAAUUUAUCCAUCUCAUUAUAAUUAAAAAAAUAUUUUUAUUAUAUUUUUUAGAAAAUAAUUAUUGACUGAAUAUAAGUAAUGUGAUAUACCUCCCCCCCCCCUCUCUCUCUCUCUCUCUCUCUCUCUCUCCUCUCUCUCUCUCCGGGCGUGAACUGAGCAAAAGAUAUGGUAGUGAAGAAGGUUACGUACGUUGGGUCUGAAAACGAGUCAUGACUCAUGACUCGUGAGGAAUCGAGUAGUCUCUUAAUAAUAAUAAUAAUAAUAAUAUUAUUAUUAUUAUUUCUGUUGCAUGCAUGUGUUCGUACAUACGUACGUGCUUUAUUUGUAAACUCGCGCGUAUGCAUGCAGAUGCAUGGACGUGUUACGUACGUAGGGUAAUAGUAAGUGCUGAAUAUAAAUAAUAAUAUAUGUGUGUCUUUAGUAACUUAAAGCUUUUUUUAAAAAAAUUAUUAUUUUUAUAUAAUUUAAUAUGGUAUGAAAUCAGUAGAUUGUUAGUUAAUUUUUUCUCAUUUAAUUUAAAUUUAUGUUUAAUGUUAAAUUAAUUAUGUAACAAGUUACGAUAGCUAGAGUACUAUUUCUAGAGAUAAAUAAAAUUGGUUAUGGUGAUAGUAUAUCCGAACUGACGAUCGACUCUAUUAUUAAUUAAUUAAGUAUGAUCUAAACUACUUAAUUUUUUUAGAAUUAAAUCAAAUUCUAUAAUUUUACAAUAUAUUUGUUUAGUGAUCAAGCGUGUCAAAUUCAUCUAUAUUUGCUAAUUAUAAAACUUAUAAAACUUUGAACAACAAAGAGACUAAGCAAAUAAUACCCAAAAAUUAUGAAAUUUAAAGCAUAAAAAAUUCAAAUACUCUAGACUAUAUUUAAUAGUGUCUAUUAUUUUUAACUGUAUAUGUACCGUUUAUUUAAAUUUGAGUGACAUAGACAUGGGAUAAUAUAUCUAUAUAUAUCCAUUUUCUUUAACAAAAAAAAGAAAUUUAGGCUACAACUAGGAUCAGGAGCAUGAAAUUAAUAUAUCUAAACUAGGUUUGAUCAUGUCACAAAUCUACAUGUGGAGUGAUCACUAAAUGGCUUGAUCCUAGCUAAAACACAUAGAUUAGGUCGACCCAUAGGCUCAUAACCCUUUUGGGGCCACUCCCAUGAUUCAUGAACAAAUUAACCAGUACAAUUUUAUUGUUCAUUGAAGGAAAAAAAGAAAAGAAAAGAAAAAGAAAAUCAAAAGAAAAGGAAAAAGUACUUUGUGUAGGGGUCUAGAGUACUACAGUACUACUACCCCACCAAAAGAAGUGCACAUGUAGUCAAGAGAGACACAUUUGAAAGAACAUAUAAAUGCUAAGCUUUUGGGUUGGUUUCUCCACUCUCUCUCUAGGAUUUAAACACAAAGCUCCCUUCAUCAUGGCCUAUUUAUUAACAGUUACACCACUGUUUCCCAAGAAGUAUAAGUCAAACAUAAAGAGAGCCCACCCUUUUACCUAUCUUUUUUUUACCCCCCCCCUACUUGGCUCAACUCAAUCCUUGGUUUCUUUUAAUUCCACCUCUUUAUCUCUCCUCUUUAGUUAUUUUAGUUGCGUGAGUUGGGAGGUAAAAGAUGUGAUCUUUCCUUUGAUGCAGUGUUAAUUAAUUAACACAAGUCACCACAGCUGCUGCACAAAAGAAUACUGCAGUGACUUCAAGAUUGCAGGAGAAGCUAUUCAUUGCCUGGAACAGAGCCACAGUGGGCCAGUUUAGUUGAUUUGGAAAGGUAAAAAUGUACAGAACUUACCUUAACUACUAUAUACGAAUUAUUUUGAUUUAUUUAUCCAAUAUUUUAAAAUUUUGAUUUUACUAUAUAAUCUUUCAACUUGUUUGAAUCGAGUCUGCCAGUGUCGACAUUUUGACUUUAAAAUUUGAAUGCGUCAAUUCUCGUAGCUAUAUAUAAAUUCAUUAAAGUAAGUAAUAAGCUAACUUAAAUUUUAAAAUCAAAUUACCGCUGAUCGACUCAAAUUAAACAAAUUGAAAGUUUGGAUAGUAAAUUCAAAGAUUGAAAGAUUUGAUAGUCAAGUCAAAAUGGCCCGUAGUUCAAAUAAAUUGCCUACAUUUUUACCUUUCUAAAACUCGAUUAAUUCAAUUUUUUUAAAAAUAAUAUAUA